UCAUACAAAAUGAACGGUCCCUAAGUAAUAGGUGGUUUAGUGGUUCCAAACUGCCAACAAAAGGUAUCAAAACAGUUUGCAUUUUUUUAAAUUUCAUCUAGUGCUUUCUCAAAGUUAUGGAGCCAUAAAUGCAUUUAUAAGCAAAAAGAAUGCUUCAUUCAUAACCACUACAUGUAUUGUCUCAUUUGAUGAGUAACAGCUAAAAACUGAGGGGAACUUUUUACAAAAUUUACCUUCAGCGAGAGAUGGGGUCUUACUUGAAUGCGGAAGCUUAAUGCUGUGUAUCCUCCCGUAUAGCUGUUUUUUUGUUUUAUUUUCAUACAGAAUGUUGUUGAUAUAACCAUAAGCCCUAUCAAAAAACAGCUUGAUCUUCAUGUCGGCAGUGAUGCUGGCCUGAAGGAGGAUUGCAAGGUUAUUUUUGUUGUUCUUGUUGUUGUUGUUCACAUGUUUGGGUUGCCUGUACACUUCUUAUCUUUCAUGAGUUAUUUUAUUUACACUUUGAAAGUAACAAGAGUGCAGUGUUAAAACAAUGAAUAAAUAAUUCCCCCUAGGAUUUAGAGAACAGAGAUAGUGAUUGCAGUCUCACGGAAACACCUUAUUGGCUGCAGGGUGCAAAAAGGGGAAAUGUAAAAGUAGAGUUAUGACACUCAGAUGAGUCAUCAGAUGACUUCACAAAUGAAUGCAAAAAAUGUGCAAAGACCUUUUCAACCAGGUGUAAUCUGUUAAAACCCAUACGGCUUGGGAGGUGCUAGGGAAACCACAAAGAAGUCCAGCGUCAAUCAAAGAAUAGACAGCCAUUGACUGAAGUGAUAUGGAAGUCCAUGAAUGGAUGGGUAUUUGCAACAGGCACAAUGCCCUAGAGUGACAUGAGGUGGCCUAUGGUUAGUGGGCUGGACUCCAAUCCGAGCCAUCUUGGUUCAAGCCCUAUUCCUAUGUACUUCAUGCUACAGAAACUUGGACAAGCUCUUGCCUCAUGGCCACUAGGAUAGUACAUGUAUGCACACUUUACUUUACAGAAUGUCCCUUUCACGGGGAAAGGAGGUGCUGAUAGAGUAUAUUUUGACAAAUGACACAUAUUUUUCCUCUGAAACUCGUAAGAUCUGAUCAUUGUUUGUCUGAAUUGGCCUAGCAGAGUUUGUUUUAAUGUUUUACAUUAACUUCCAGAAAUGUGUUAGCUCACCAACAAGAAGUGAAAGAAGUAGAAUAUCUGCCUUUUGAUGUGGAUGGGGAUUGUGCCUCCAAAGUUUCAUGCAUAAAAGCACAAAUGAUGAAAGCUGCAAAAGAUGGAAGACCUUGGAAAAAGUGGGUAACAUCAUACAGGGGUAUCUUGUUCCAAGAGAUAAUCAUUGUAUUUUUUCCAGCCUUAAAUGAAAAAUCAGCUGCCAUGACUCAGCGUCUAUAUAAUGCCAGUGUGUAUUAAUAAUUGCCAUCUGAUAUUUUUAAUUUUUCAUUGAAUAAGACUGAUUUAUUAGCACCCAAAAGUAUCAGUUAUUGAUCCAGCCACAUGCUCUUGGGCUGGGCUCCUUUAAUUUUUAAAUAGAUGUUGCAUAUAUUUUAUUAUUAUAAUUAUAAUUUUAUUUUAUUAUAUGCGCCACCCCUGAAUAAGCGCCGCUCUCAAAUAAGCACCGCAUUUGGGUUUAAAAAGUUAUUAAGUGCUGCCCUCGAAUAAGCGCCGCUGUCCUGAUGUGGCACUUAUUCAAGGGAUUCUGUAUAACUAAAUAAAAAACACUACAAAGCAACUCAAAAACAGUAUUAAAAUGAACAAUGAAAAUCAAAGUUAAGUGACGACACCACUAGCAAAGCAAUUCGAAAGGGCCGGGAAAAGACUAAUGAUGACAAUCAAAACACACUUAUGCUUGUUACAUAAAAGUUUCUUACAGAUAGAAAAAUACUGUUAAAUUCAAAGAAAAGAUUUCUUUGUCGUGUUAAAUUGUUAAAUAAGCGCCGCCCUCGAAUAAGUGCCACACUUCAGGGCAAAGCCCUGCUUGAUGUUCUGAACUUUUUUAAGGUUAGUGAGGCCUUUGGCCUGGCUGUAUACCUCUUCAAUGUUUUGCCAUUAUGCAUAGAGCUUUUCAAACAUUCAUAUGGAAAUUGGCUGGGCUUAGAUGCUGAAUUAUUAAGGAAAAAAAAAAACUGUUCAGCUUUGAGCAUAGCAUCAGGUAGUGGAGGUUUGGCUUCACACGUGUGGGUGCCACUAUGGCAAACUAAGACAUGCAAGUUCUCAAACUCCCACACUUUUUUGGCAAAAUAGGGAACAGCUAUAUUUAUAACAUAGCUAAAGCAAAGCGCGCUCUCU